ACUCACCAUAUUACAGAUGGAGGCGAUGUUUCGGACAGUCAUUAGUCUAAAGGUUGCAGCGAUCCCGCACCGCCAUCUUUAUAAGCGCAGAGUGUUGCCAUGUUACCAGGACAUCAGGAUAGCAAACAUCUGGCAACGAAGAGCCAUUUUUUGCAGAAGCAGAAUGGACUUCGUCCACAUGUGCCACAAUCUCAUGCCUCUGCCUUUGCAGCAGAGGCAGCCGGGACAUCCCCUGGUACUCCGUGCAUUCAGAGAGCAGGGAGCGCAGCCCGCAGAAGAAGAGGGAGG